CCCCGUGAACCUUUACUAUAGCUUUGCACUGGACUUUGAGCUUGCUUGUGUAGGAUAGGUGGGAGGCUUUGAAGUGGGGACGCCAGUUCUCAUGGAGCCAUCCUUGAAAUACCACCCUGGCAACCUUGAGGUUCUAACUCAGGUCCGUUAUCCGGAUCGAGGACAGUGUAUGGUGGGUAGUUUGACUGGGGCGGUCUCCUCCCAAAGAGUAACGGAGGAGCACGAAGGUUAGCUAAUCCUGGUCGGACAUCAGGAGGUUAGUGCAAUGGCAUAAGCUAGCUUGACUGCGAGCGUGACGGCGCGAGCAGGUGCGAAAGCAGGUCAUAGUGAUCCGGUGGUUCUGAAUGGAAGGGCCAUCGCUCAACGGAUAAAAGGUACUCCGGGGAUAACAGGCUGAUACCGCCCAAGAGUUCAUAUCGACGGCGGUGUUUGGCACCUCGAUGUCGGCUCAUCACAUCCUGGGGCUGAAGUAGGUCCCAAGGGUAUGGCUGUUCGCCAUUUAAAGUGGUACGCGAGCUGGGUUUAGAACGUCGUGAGACAGUUCGGUCCCUAUCUGCCGUGGGCGCUGGAGAAUUGAGGGGGGCUGCUCCUAGUACGAGAGGACCGGAGUGGACGCAUCACUGGUGUUCGGGUUGUCAUGCCAAUGGCAUUGCCCGGUAGCUAAAUGCGGAAGAGAUAAGUGCUGAAAGCAUCUAAGCACGAAACUUGCCCCGAGAUGAGUUCUCCCUGAGACUUUAAGUCUCCUGAAGGAACGUUAAAGACGAUGACGUUGAUAGGUCGGGUGUGUAAGCGUAGCGAUACGUUGAGCUAACCGAUACUAAUGAACCGUGAGGCUUAACC
rnacentral:rRNA from 1 species